UACGAAGGGGGCUAGCGUUGCUCGGAAUGACUGGGCGUAAAGGGCGCGUAGGCGGUUCGUACAGUCAGACGUGAAAUUCCCGGGCUCAACCUGGGGGCUGCGUUUGAUACGUACGGGCUUGAGUUCGGAAGAGGGUCGUGGAAUUCCCAGUGUAGAGGUGAAAUUCGUAGAUAUUGGGAAGAACACCGGUGGCGAAGGCGGCGACCUGGUCCGAUACUGACGCUGAGGCACGAAAGCGUGGGGAGCAAACAGG
rnacentral:rRNA from 1 species